UGUUUGGUGGUUGCUUAAAAAAUCUGUGCCACUUUCUCAACCAAUCGGAAGUGUAAGUAAACCAAAUCUAAUCACAAGUAAAGGCAGAAGUAAUCUGGACUUGCUCACACAAGUUUUACUGGACUUAACUUGAUGCUAAGGAAAACAUUGAACUGGAAGAUUCAUUAGGGAAUGAAUCGUGUGCAUAUAGGGUGGUCUAACAUGCAUGUGUGAGUUUUAAAUUAGCUUCGUAUAUAGGGCUACCAUAAAUACCUACAGUUGUAGUUAUUUAUUUAGAAAAAGAGAUAACUAUACAUUUGGUGAUUUACAUUGUUGUUAAUCAUUGCCUGAGUCCCUGACUUGGCAGCCUGCUGUUACUGAUUCAUACACCAAAGUAAUAAGCUUUAGAGCAACAGGUAUAUUUAAUCUCAUUUAAGCAGGAAUUUACUUUUACAGCUAAGGAAAGGACUGGCGUUGAAGAUUCUCGAGACUCCUCUACAGAACCUCCUCAAAGGAGGGCAACAGAUGGGCAAUUAUCUAAGGAAAGCACUGACCAGUAAGAGCCCAGAGGCUCCUCAAGGAGCGUCCACGAAAGAGGCCAACAGCACGGCAAUUACCUAAGGAAAGCACUGCCCUGGAAGAGCCUAGUCGCUCCUCUCAAGAGCCUCUACAAAAAAGGUCGACAACAGGUCAAUCACCUAAGGAAAGCACCGGCCUGGAAGAGCCUAGAGACUCCCCUAAAGACCUGCCACAGAGGCAAAUAGCAGGGUAAUCAGUAGGAUCACACGGGACUGAAGAAACGUCCGUUGUAUUUUACCGGGUGGACGACAAGUACUCGGCGGUCGGCUACCUGCAGCCGGGUCGGAUGACCCUGCAUGGCCAGACUCACCCUGCCGGCGUGGAUGUCGUCCUUGUUAGAUGGGUCGACAACAAGGAAGGGGAAGUGCCACCUCCGCUCGCAAUAGUGGACCCCGAAGAGAAUGCCAAGCUGUGUCCUGGUCAAUUCUUUGCGUUUCCCAGGACCUGCUUGGCCAAAGUUAAAGUUAUCUGAACAGUGGCCCCGUUGUUCAGUGUUUUAGCCUUAGAGAGAGAUAGCGUUUCGUUUUGAAUUCCUUUUCCAUUACUGUUCGUGUAGUGAGCGUCCGCUCACUUUAUAAUUUUCUUGGCAGUGGGAAUUAAAAAACGAAAGUAAUCGUGAGCUUUACUCGUUUUUGCUUCUGAUGAAAAUGCACAUGACGUGGGGAACUUACGUAGUAAUAUCACUGCGAAGAUACCCACUGAAACCGACCUUUAUAGUGAAGGCAAUUUUCCUUUAUAUUUUGAUUUCCUUAUGAUGAUGAUGAUGAUGAUGAUGACCACGACGACGAUCGUGAUGAUGAUGAUGAUGACCACGACGACGAUCAUGAUGAUGAUGAUGACGAUGACGAUGACGAUGAUGACAAUGAAUAAGUUUUAAGUCUAAAUUUUAAUUGCUGGAAGAAUCUUUAAGUUGUGUUUUAUCAGCAUACAGAUUGUUUUAUGUGCCAUAAUAUCUUUAUGUAAAUGUAUAUCAA